rnacentral:rRNA from 1 species
GACAGAGGUUGCAAACGUUGUUCGGAAUUACUGGGCGUAAAGCGAGUGUAGGCGGCCACGUAAGUCGGAUGUGAAAGCCCCGGGCUCAACCCGGGAAGUGCACUCGAUACUGCGUGGCUUGAGUACUGGAGAGGUUGGUGGAAUUCUCGGUGUAGAGGUGAAAUUCGUAGAUAUCGAGAGGAACACCGGUGGCGAAGGCGGCCAACUGGACAGAUACUGACGCUGAGACACGAAAGCGUGGGUAGCAAACAGG